CACGUAGGCGGCUUUGCAAGUUAGAGGUGAAAGCCCAGGGCUUAACCCUGGAAUUGCCUUUAAAACUGCAUCGCUAGAAUCGUGGAGAGGUAAGCGGAAUUCCGAGUGUAGAGGUGAAAUUCGUAGAUAUUCGGAAGAACACCAGUGGCGAAGGCGACUUACUGGACACGUAUUGACGCUGAGGUGCGAAAGCGUGGGGAGCAAACA
rnacentral:rRNA from 1 species